AUGCGUCGCCGGACGGCCGUCCACGCGGUCCUCGUUGCCGCCGGCCUCCUGGUGCUGCUGGCCACGUACUCGCCGCCGCCGCUGCGUUCUCCUCCAGUGCUGCUACUGGGUGGCGACGCCGACGCGGGUGCGCAGGGUAGCCGGUCGGCGCAGUCGACGCCACGUGAGAGGAGGAAGCUGGGUGUGGUAGCCGGCCGGCGCUUGGGCCAGAGAGUGCCCGUGAAGCCACCCUCGCCGGACCCCAACGGCUGGAAGACGAUGGUGAAGCCCGUGCCGCCGCCGCCGCCGCCGCCAUCAUCAAUUUACUAG
rnacentral:rRNA from 1 species